CACGCCUGGCACUAUUGUCAUUAUUAUUAUGACUACUGUUCUCUCAUCCCUCCCCACCCCAGAUCCUGACCAAGAUGAAGCAGCAGGGUCAUGAGACAGCCGCCUGUCCGGAGACUGAAGAGAUACCGCAGGGAACCAGUGGCUGCUGGAAGGAUGACCUCCAGAAGGAACUGAGUGAUAUAUGGUGAUGCCCAGCCCGCAGUCUGACCCCUGACCCUCCUCUGAACCCGUUCCCCCAACGGGAUCUGGCAGUGACCACCAGAACCUGGAGCCCACCUGAGUCCAGACUUCCCUCACCCCCUAGGACUCACCCACCACGGCCCCCAACCUUAGCUGUACUGCUGUCUACACCCUGAGCAGUGUGGAGUCUCCCAGCACCCCCAGCUCCUUGUCUUCCUGCAGGUCUGCUGUGCACGUGCUGCAGAACUCCAUAGACAGCCUCACUUUGUGCUUGGGGGCCCGUCCCAAGGCCUCGAGCCUAAGAGGCCACAAGGGGCACCAGUGCCUGAGCCCUCCACUCCCCUCCUGGGACUCUGACUCCGACUCUGACCAGGACCUCUCCCAGCCACCUUUCAGCAAGAGCGGCCGCUCCUUCCCACCCGCUUGAGCAGCCGGGACUGCUCUCCCUGAAGACCCCUCCAGAGAGAAAAUAAACUAGCGCAGACCCUCCUCUAGCCCCGACUGUUAGUCCUGCUGCUUCCUGUGCCUAGGAAUCCCCCUGCCCUCCCAGUUUACUCCUCAUUGUUGGGGGGGAGGGGUGUAGAGACCCCAGGGGUCAUUCGGGAUGUGUGGGCUGGAA
rnacentral:lncRNA from 1 species